rnacentral:rRNA from 1 species
ACCCGUUGAACUUAAGCAUAUCAAUAAGCGGAGGA